AUGGAAACGUCAGCUAAGACCGCAUAGGUGUAGAGAUCGCAUGAACUCUAUAUGAAAAGUGCUACGGGACUGGUAGGUGAUGGACUUAUGGCGCAUUAGCUGGUUGGUAGGGUAACGGCCUACCAAGGCGACGAUGCGUAGCCGACCUGAGAGGGUGACCGGCCACACUGGGACUGAGACACGGCCCAGACUCCUACGGGAGGCAGCAGUAGGGAAUUUUCGGCAAUGGGGGAAACCCUGACCGAGCAACGCCGCGUGAAGGAAGAAGUAGUUCGUUAUGUAAACUUCUGUCAUAGAGGAAGAACGGUGGAUAUAGGGAAUGAUAUCCAAGUGACGGUACUCUAUAAGAAAGCCACGGCUAACUACGUGCCAGCAGCCGCGGUAAUACGUAGGUGGCGAGCGUUAUCCGGAAUUAUUGGGCGUAAAGAGGGAGCAGGCGGCACUAAGGGUCUGUGGUGAAAGAUCGAAGCUUAACUUCGGUAAGCCAUGGAAACCGUAGAGCUAGAGUGUGUGAGAGGAUCGUGGAAUUCCAUGUGUAGCGGUGAAAUGCGUAGAUAUAUGGAGGAACACCAGUGGCGAAGGCGACGAUCUGGCGCAUAACUGACGCUCAGUCCCGAAAGCGUGGGGAGCAAAUAGGAUUAGAUACCCUAGUAGUCCACGCCGUAAACGAAGAGUACUAAGUGUUGGGAGUCAAAUCUCAGUGCUG
rnacentral:rRNA from 1 species